rnacentral:lncRNA from 1 species
UGGCUUGCCACUUCUCAGGCUGUGGCUGUAUCUAACGCCUCCCCUUGGACGUACUCAGUGCUGGAGGUCCAAAACCUGCCUUGGGCUCCCAAGUGGAAGCUCUCUUUGUGCUGGAAGCCGUGUGGGAGCAGACUUUGCAUCACUCUGGGUUCUUGUGGGUCCUGUGGUGCUCCUGGAGGUGGCUCUUACCCGCAGAAAGGGGAAGGUUUUGUUGGGAUCGCAGUCUGCACAGCUCGGGGCCUGCAGCAGCCCCGCUUCAGGCCUUCCCGCGGGCUGCCGUGUGCGCUGCUCCGCUGGGCCCGGCGGCACCCAGUUCUCGAGAUUGCAGAGGAUCAAAGGUCGGAGCCUGAAGGAAGGAAGGUGACCUCACUAGGAGCUGCUCAGAUGUCAGGUGAAGUGCACGCCCCACAAACACCGAUAGCAUGUUGGUGCUGCAGCCAGAGGCACAGAAAGAGACGAAGACUGUGGAUCUAGAAAUACGUACAUGCUUGCAGAAGAACUUGCUGGCCUGCACAUGCAUUGCUCCAGUCUUCAUGAGAAGUUUGUAUCUGACCUAGUAUCUGGACAAAAGUUUUCUUGGUUCUUAACCUGUAGUAUUAAGGCAGUAAUUCCAUAGCUUAUGUUGCUCAUUAUAACUAAUGUAAUAAUCACAUAACAAAAUAUACAAAUAGAGAAUAAAACUGUCUUUUCAUCCUUAGACUAGAAUACU